CUCUGUUCUUCAGGGGGCUCCUGACUGCUGAAACUUGAAUUGUAUGCCUCUGUUCUUCAGGAAAGCUCCUGACUGCUGAAAUUAAGUUGUAUAUCUCAGUUCUUCAGGCAGACUCCUGACUGCUGAAAUUUGAAUUGUAUGCCUCUGUUCUCCAGGCGGACUCCUAACUUCAGCAAAAUAGGCAAAUAAGGAGAAUUUUCUGCCCCGGUUUGGAAGUUGGGUGCACGGGUGAAUGUUAACUAAAUCAUUAUACCAACUACUACUAAGAGUUUGAAAGCUAAGUCCAAUUAUCCAUGGAGGUCCUGACAAUUCCUAACAAUUAUGAACCUAAGUUAUAUACUCUAAAGGUAUUACUCUCACUACAUCAUGCUAUCUACAAGGGUUUUCGAACUACAUCCUAUUAUUCAAUAAGGUCCUGACAACUCCUACUUGAAUUUUAUCCUAAACAUGAAAACUUUGAAACCAACUUACAUUCCCUUAUGCUACUCAUCUUGUAUUUUAAUCAAACCACACUUUGAGGUCAAACCUGAUUACUGUUUGUGUUUCCCUUAUGGAGAGUUCCUCCAGAACAACUGAUUUUUCUGCCUCUGUUUCAAUCAAAGAAAAUUUCGUUAGUUUAAAAUGGUGGUUAGUUGAUAGCAUUCUUGUUGAAAAUCCUCCCACUGCAUUGCUUUGCUUUGGCUGGCUUCCCCGAACUGGCUCUGAACCGCUUGACUUUCUGACUGACUUUCAAACCCCUUGACCUUUGAAAACCCAAGUGUUCCAUACCCAUGUUGUUGUUUCACACCUCUGAUCUCUUUAUCAGAACAUUUAAAUUUCCUACGACAUUUCCCAAUCAUUCUACCAAGGAAACUUCUGAUGAUUCCCUACGUUCCACCUUACAUCAUGUUGUCCUCGACAUACUCCAACCACACUAUACUUUACAAUUUCCG
rnacentral:lncRNA from 1 species